GAGUCCAUCGUCCACCAUGAAUGCGAGGCCAAACUCUAGGUUGGGGUUUCUCUCUUCACGGCGCCGCUGCCCUAGUCGCCGCCCAAGGCGUUGCCAGAGNCGCCGUUCACCGUNGGCGCCCUUGCCGGCCAGAGCCCAAAGCUACCCUUCUCUCCCUCUGAUCCAACGCGACCCAGAAGUAGGGGUUAUCAUCUCCAUUUCGGCGAAGCAAAUGGCCACCGUUAAUUUCUAUUUUCCCUUUUGCUUCAUGCUCUGAUUGGGUUCAACUGUUGGGGUUUGAUUUCUAUUUUUUUGUGAUUUGGUUCAUUGUAGGUUGAGGGUAGGGGUCAUGAUAUGUGAAUAGAGAUAGGAAAUAUGGUGGAGAUGGAGGUUAUGAAGUGAGGUUCUGUUUCUGUUUUGGUUCUCUGUUUUUGGUUGGUCAUACAACAAUGGUGGAAUGGUUGUUGGUGUUGACAGAGAAUGGAGAGGGAUUGGGCGGAGGCUAUCCAGUGAGUGGUUGAAGCAAUGAAGCGUAGUCGAUGAUGAUGAAUACCGCGGUGGUGAUGAGGAUGAAGGUGUGGAUUGUGUGUGUUGCGUGAUAGUUACCUGAUGAAGGAAUUGGUUUCUGAGAGUCUUUCUAUUGAGUAAAAUGGAGGAAUGAAUGGAUNNAGGUAGUUUUUUCUUGAGCAUAGCAGAGGGAUNGAGCCAAAAAGGGUGGUGUCGUGUGUGUCAUCAAUUCUGUUGGGUCCUGAGGUGUAGUGAGGAUGAUGGCAUUUGGCUGGCGUGAUGAAGCCUGGUGUGGCAUGAGUGAUGAUUCUGUUAAGGUGGAGGAUGGAUUGAGAAUUGGUGAGUCCGAGAGGAAUUGUCUGUUGUGCCUCUUCCAUCCAUCAACAUUCUGUUUUGCCUCUCACGAAUAGAUCACGUUGCCCUUUUCUUUUUUUUUCAUUUUUAUUUUUUCUUUCGUUUUUUUCUUUUUCCUUUUUCAUUCAUUUUUUUUCUUUUUUAUCAUUUUUCGUUUUUUUUCUUUUUUUCUUUUCUUUCUUUUUUUUUAUUACUUCUUUUCUGUUCUCUUUUUUUUUCAAAACAAUAAAAUCAAACGAAAAUUAAAAAUAAAUCCAAAUAAUAAAAUAAAAACUAAAUCAAAUAGUAAAACAAAAAUAAAAUGAAAAUAAAAUAAAAUAAAACAAAAGUAAAAACGAGUCCUAUUAUUUAGUCACCCGGACGAAAUUGGGUGUUGACACAUAUCCUUCCAAUGCCUAUGAUUUUGCCAUGUUAGUCUUUGUUAGGUACCAAUCUAG
rnacentral:lncRNA from 1 species